CCUCUCCCCGCGCCCGUAGCCGCGUCCCCUCAGCCGCCAUCCUCUCAGCACCGGGGCGCACUCACAGGCCGGCACCAGCUCCAGGAAAAGCGCCUUUUGCGUACGGUCCCGAAGCCGCAGCUGCCGCACGAUGUGGCGUUUCCAGCGCGCUGCGGGGGCACCGGGGACGCCCGGCCCCGCCAUGGCCGCGCUCUCCCGCCUAGCGGCGCGUUCCUCCCGCCCAGGACGGCGCCAGGCCGGGGCGGGGCCUCGCGGGGACUCCGUGACGCCAGGGGGCGGGCGGCGGCGGGGAAUCCCCGGCUUGUCCCAAGAGGGCUUUGGCGGGGAGGACCGAAGGCCGACGCCGGGAGGAUCUGCCUCCGGGAGGAGCCGCCUCCGGGUCUGAACCGCCGGGGCCCCGUCCGAAAUGUUCACCUAAGUGGGGGCUCCUGUGGCUGCGAGGGUCAUAAGCAGGAGCGAGGUCGGAGCCUCCGGGGAGGCUUCCCCCACGCGGGUGGAGCGCUCCGGAGGCGGGGCCCUCAAGGCCCGGGUGUCUUAACCCCGCCGCGCCCGGGCCGAGUUCGAGAGCCGCUGGUGCUUCCCAGGCCGUCGCGCUCCUGGCCGCGCACCCAGCCAGGGACCCAGAGGCCCUCAGCCCCGGGCUCUGCGCGUACACUGAGGGCGCGGCGCAGCAGGACAGCAAGAUAAGGAAGCAGAGACUGAAGGGAGGAAUCCCCGCUUUCCGGGGAUGAUGGCGUUCGAGUUGGGUCUGUGAGGGAUGAAAUAGGAGUUGGCCAGAGGGAGAGAGGGACUCUAGGCCUCGAGAAGAGCACGUGCAGAGGUUCCGUGACACGAAAACGCCAGGUGGGUGCGGGGCUGGGAGGACAGGAGGCAGAAGGGUUUACGGCUCCACAUGGUCGCCGAAAUUUUAGGUCCCUGAGAGUAAAGGGGUGCAGCUGAUUUCAUCUAGAAAGCCCCUGGCCGGGAGGAGAGAACGAGCUUGCUUGCCUGGGGUUGCAAAGGAGUGGGUAGCUGAGACGGCCAGCACCCCAGCAUCCUGACUCAGGGCCAGACGCUUCACCCCAUUGGGCGGCGUCUGGAGGAGCAGACACAUCUCUUGUGGGUACCCUCGAAAGUGAAUCAUGGGUCGCAGGGAACUGUGGUCAAACCGUCUCUAGCUAGAUGCUAGAGAGCCAGCUCUGCAGGCUCAGGCUACUGUGAGACACGAAAGGAGGGACUCGCUGGGCACAGCCUCACCCUGGGGCAUGCCAGCAGGCCCUGCCCUCUGAGUGUUGGCAGACUUGAACAUCCCUAGGGAACGAGAGAAGUUGGGCAACGAUGGGAGAGCAGUGCAGGCCCUGGAGGUGACGAGUCUGUUGAGAUUCUGAUGGGGAUGGGUCAGAGGACGUAGAAAGCAGUGAAGGCCUAGACGCCCCCAGGUCAGUGUAGCCUGCUCUGCUUCCAGUGAGCUGGGCUCAGUCCCCCACAUGUCAUUGUCUUAGACGCCCAUGGCCUUUGCACAGGCCGAGCCUGAUGUUUGGAACAUCGUCGCCUCUAGGGGGCCUGGCUCCUAAUCAUGCAUCACCUCCUCCAGGAGAACUUUCCUGCCCCUACACUGAGUUCAAGCUUCUCAGACACCAGCCCCAGUUGAGUUCGAGUUAUAACCGUCACCAGUUAUCACACCAUCCUGUAAUCUGUGCGGUGCCCCUUAGGGCAGGACCUGGGUCCUAGAUGUCUCUGUACCUCUAGCCCCAAACCAGGCCUGACCUGUCUCUUGAAGGAGUAUUUGUGUUGAAGAUGGGUGGUAACGUUCAGCAAAAGCCAUGCCCAGGAGACAGGCACAGUACCCAUGGAGACCCAGGGCCAGCUGAUGACAGUGAUGAAUUCCCUUUAGAACUGGCGGACUCUUGGGUGCUUGGAGACACUAUAUAAAUAAGGAACUCUGGCUGUGUGCAUGGGAGAGUAUAUUAACAGGGCUUGGCCUGGCUGUGAGGUGCAGAGAUGCCGUUUCUCUCAGGUAAGGAGCCAUAUUGGGGCAGGGGUUUCCUAAUCCUUUUUUGACUCACAAAAUACACCUAGGAAAUGUUAAAUAAAUAGUCAUUUUUGAGUAGUAUAUGAUAAAGAAGUGAUUGAUUUUGACUAAAAAUAUUCAUGUUCUAUUUUUAGAAUAUGAAAGAUUGUAUUAUAAAGAUCACUUGAAAUAAAAUUUUAGAUAAUAUAUGGAGACAAAUUUCUGCUUUUUACAUUUAACUUGCUGUUUAAUGUAUCUCAAAUUAUUUAUGUAAGAGAUAUAUGAUUUGACCAAUAAAUAUAAAAAAAUGUUAUACCAUAAUCUGGGGACCUAAAGUACUUCACUUUUUUUGUUCUGUUUUGUUUUUGAGACAGGGUCUCUCUCUGUUGCCCAGGCUGGAGUGCAGUGGCCCAAUCAUGGCUCACUGCAGCCUCAUCCUCCUGGGAUUAAAUGAUUCUUCCACCUCAGUCUCCCGAGUAGCUGAGACUACAGGCACAUGCCACUAUCGCUGGUUUUGUUGUUGUUUUGUUUUGUUUUGUUUUUUGAGACAGAGUCUCUGUUACCCAGGCUGGAGUGCAGUGGCACAAUCUCGGUUCAUUGCAACCGCCUCCUCCCGGGUUCAAGCGAUUCUCAUGCAUCCGCCUUCCGAAUAGGUGGGAUUACAGGCAUGCGUCACCACACCCAGCUAAUUUUUGUACUUUUAGUAGAGACAGGGUUUCACCAUGUUGGCCAGGCUGAUCUCCAGCUCCUGACCUCAAGUGAUCCACCCGCCUCAAGCCUCCCAAAGUGCUGGGACUACAGGUGUGAGUCACCGUGCCCAGCCGCCCAGCUCAUUUUAAAUUUUUCUUGUAAAGACAAGGUCUCACUAUGUUGCCCAGGCUGGUCUCUAAUUCCUGGGCUCAAGCAAUCCUCCUGCCUUGGCAUCCCAAGUGCUAGCAUUACAGGCAUGAGCUACUGCACCUGGCCCUAAAGUACUUAAAAUGUAAUUUAAAAUUUGCACCUGGGAGGCCAGACACGGUGGCUCACACCUGUAAUCCCAGCACUUUGGGAGGCCAAGGCAGGUGGAUCACAAGGUCAGGAGUUCAAGACCAGCCUGGCCAGCAUAGUGAAACCCCAUCUCUACUAAAAAUACCCAAAAAAAAGCCAGGCUUGGUGGUGGGCGUCUGUAAUCCCAACUACUCAGGAGGCUAAGGCAGAGAAUUGCUUGAAUCCGGGAGGCAGAGGUUGCAAUGAGCUGAGAUCGCACCACUGCACUCCAGCCUGGUGACAGAGCGAGACUCCAUCUCAAAAAAAAAAAAAAAAAAAAAAAAAAAAGUGCACCUGGGUUAGGCAUCUCCCAGAAGCCAGAGUGAUUGUUCAAAAACUUAAAUCAGGCCAGGCACGGUGUCUCACACCUGUAAUCCCAGCACUUUGGGAGGCCACGGUGGGCAGAUCACCUGAGGUCGGGACUUUGAGACCAGCCUGACCAACAUGGAGAAACCCCGUCUCUACUAAAAAUACAAAAAUUAUCCAGGCAUGGUGGCGCACGCCUGUAAUCCCAGCUACUUGGGAGGCUGAGGCAGGAGAAUCACUUGAACCCAGGAAGCAGAGGUUUCAGUGAGCCAAGAUUGCGCCACUGCACUCCAGCCUGAGCAACAGAACAAGACUGUCUCAAAAACAAAAACAAAAAUCUUAAGUCAUCUCAAGUUCCUCUUGCUUAAAACCCUUGAAAGGCUCUCCAGCAUAGUCAAAGCAAAUACCAAACCCUUUACCAUGGCCUUCAAGGCCCUGCUUGAUCUGGCCCCUGCCCACAUCACUGAUCUUACCUCUUCCUACUCUUUAGCCUUAUUCACUGCACUGAAAUCCCACUGCCAAGCUUAGCCCCACCUUGGAGGCUUUGCCCUGGCUGCACCCCUCUCCUAGUGCUCUUCCUCCACAACUUUUAGAGGCUAGCUCCUACAUACCAGGCAGAUUUCAGAAGACCUUUCCUGUCAUCCAAUCUGAAAAAGCUCCCAUCCCAAUCAGCGUCUAUCACAUCACCCUUGUUCUUCCUUUCAGAGCACCUAAUACUCCCAGAAAGAAUCACAUUUCUGUGUUUGCUAGUUGUUUAUUAUGUCUCUUCUACCAGGCUGGGAACUUCAGGAAAGCCAGGACCAAGUCAAUCUUGAUCUAGGCUCUGUCUUCAGCAUCUAGAACCAGGCUUGGCACCAACUGAGUAGGUAAUCCGUAAAUAAAUUGCUGUUGCUGUGUAUCAAAAAGAAAAAACCAAAGUUUGCAUGGUCCAGUGCUUAGAAGUUUUGAAAUAAAAAAUGUAGCUAUUUUUUGGCUGGGUAUAGUGGCUCACGCCUGUAAUCCCAGCACUUUGGGAGUCCGAGGCGGUGGAUCACCUGAAGUCAGGAGUUCGAGACCAGCCUGGCCGACAUAGUGAAACCACGUCUCUACUAAAAAUACAAAAAUUAGCCGGGAGUGGUGGCAGGUGCCUAUAAUCCUAGCUGCUUGGGAGGCUGAGCGGGGAGAAUCACUUGAACCUGGGAGGCAGAAGUGGCAGUGAGCUGAGAUCGUGCCAUUGCACUCCAGCCUGGGCGAAAGAGCAAGACUCAGUUUAAAAAAAAAAAAAGUAGCUAUUUUUUAAAUUGGAAAACCAAUCACAUGCACAUAGCAAAGAAUUGAAAUAGUACAAAAGUGAGCCUGUUUGCCUCACACCUUCAUAUUGAUCAGGAUAGGACAGGCUGGUCUGUGGUUACAGUGAUUUCUUUUUUUUUUUUUUUCUUCCAGAGAUGGAGUCUCGCUCUGUCUCCCAGUCUGGAGUGCAGUGGCAUGAUCUUGGCAAUCUGGGCUCACUGCAACCUCCGCCUCCCAGAUUCAAGCAAUUCUCCUGCCUCAGCCUCCCGAGUAGCUGGGACUACAGGCACACGCUGCCACACCUGGCUAAUUUUUUGUAUUUUAGUAGAGACAGGGUUUCACCACGUUGCCCAGGCUGGUCUCAAACUCCUGAGCUCAGGCAAUCUGCUCGCCUCAGCCUCCCAAAGUGCUAGGAUUACAGGCGUGAGCCACCGCACCUGGCAGUACAGUGAUUUCUAAUAUUGCCCAUGACUGUUGGCUGAACUCAACUGGUGAUUCUUACUUUGAAUGGCUUAUGUGACUGCGAUCACACCAGGACUGGAGUUACCUGAAGACUCAGCUGGGCAGGUUACUGUUGAUGGCUCACUCAUUUGGCUGGCAGGAGAUGCCAUCUAUUGGCUAGAGGGUCGGAGCUGCAAACCAAAGCACCUACAUGUGGCCCCUUCACAUGGCUUAGGUUUCUCAGAACAUGGUGGCUAGAUUCUGAGAGGGAGGCAUCCCAAAACAUGCAUCCAACAGUAUGAAAGCUGCCAGUCUCUUACGGUUUGACCCUGAAAUUAGAACACAUCACUUCCUCUGCAUUCUAUUAACCAAAGCAGUCACGGACCAGCCCAGAUUGAAGGAGAGGGGACAUAGGCCCCAGCCUUCAAUGAAAGGAAUGUCAAGCCAGGCACGAUGGCUCACACCUGUAAUCCCAGCACUUUGGGAGGUCAAGGCGGGCGGAUCAUCUGAGGUCAGGAGUUUGAGACCAGCCUGACUAACGUGGUGAAACCCCGUCUCUACUAAAAAUACAAAAAUUAGCCGGAUGUGGUGGCGCACGCCUGUAAUCCCAGCUAUUCAGGAGGCUGAGGCAGGAGAAUCGCUUGAACCCAGGAGGUGGAGUUUGCAGUGAGCCGAGAUUGUGCCAUUGCAUUCCAGCCUGGGUGACAGAAUGAGACUGUCUCAAAAAAAAAUUAAAAAAGGAAUGUCAAAAAAGUCUGGCCAUCUUUAAUCCACCACAUGUGGAUACUAAAUAAAACUCCAAAUCUCAGUCGCUUAAAACAACAAAGGCUUAUUUCUUACUCAUCCCACAUUAGACAAUGAUGGUGUGCUGUUCUCCCCCAGCAGGGACUUAAAUCCUUCUGACAUCACCAUAAUCUCAGUUAUUUGAUUCCAACUGCUCAGAUUGGGGUAGGGGAGAGGGAAAAGAUUGACACUAACACUUAAUUGCCUUGGACUGAAGUGAUACAUUCUUCUGCCCAAUUCCGACUGGUGACAUCACAUCUACUAGGAAGGUUGAGAAAUGUAGUCUUUCCAUAGUCCCUGGAAAAGAGAAAUGGGUGUGGAUACAUCACUGUGGCUAACACACACCACUUUCCCAGUCUCCUCCUCUAAAAGCAUCACCACUAACACUACAGAGUGUAUACUUCCAGAAAUAUUUAUGCAUAUACGACACAUAAAACACAAAGGGGAACAGGCACAGUGGCUCACGCCUGUAAUCCCUGCACUUUGGGAUGCUGAGGCGAGCAGAUCACUUGAGCCCAGGAGUCUGAGACUAGCCUGGGCAACAUGGCGAAACCCUGUCUCUUCUAAAAAUACAAAAUUUAGCCAGGCAUGGUGGCACAUGCCUGUAGUCCCAGCUACUCCAGAGGCUGGGGUGGGAGGAUCACUUGAGCUCAGGAGGCAGAGGUUGCAUUGAGCUGUGACCAUGCCACUGCACUCAGCCUGGGUGACAGAGUGAGACCUUGUCUAAAACAAAAAAAACCCACAGAAAAAGAGUAGCAUUUACACACUUCUACACUUUGCUUCUUCCUCUUUUUUUUUUUUUUUUUUUGGACAGAGUCUCACUCUGCUCUCCAGGCUAGAGUGCGAUGGCACAAUCAUAGCUCAUUGUAACCUCAAACUCCUGGGCUCAAACAAUCCUCCCACCUCAGCCUCCUGAGACUAAAGAUAUGAGCCACCACACCUGGCCAAGCAAAGGAUUUAAGUAGACAUUUCUUCAGGCCAGACACGGUGGCUCAUGCCUGUAAUCCCAGCACACUGGGAGGCCAAGGCGGGCAGAUCACCUGAGGUCAGGAGCUGAAGACCAGCCUGGCCAACAUAGUGAAACACCAUAUCUACUAAAAAUACAAAAAUUAGCUGGGUGUGGUGGCACUUGCCUGUAGUCCCAGCUACUUAGGAGGCUGAGGCAGGAGAAUCGCUUGAACCCGGGAGGCAGAGGUUGCAGUGAGCAGCGAUCACAUCACUGCACUCCAGCCUGGGCGAUGGAUUGAGACACUGUCUCAAAAAUAAAUAAAUAGACAUUUCUUCAAAGUAAAUAUACAAAUGGCCAAUAAGCAUGUGAAAAAUUGCUCAACAUCAUCAGUAGGGAAGUGCAAAUAAAAAACCACAAUGAGCUAGCACUUUAUAUCUACUGAGAUGGCUGUAAUUUUUUUAAAAUAAAAUAACAGUGUCAGGGAGGAAGUGGAGAAAAUAGAACCCUCAUGCAUUGCUGGUGGGAAUGGCUGGUGGUGCAGCUGAUGUGGAAAAUAGUUUGGAAGUUUCUCAAAAGGUUAAACGUACAACCAUCAUAUGAUCCAGCAAUUCCAUUCCUGGGUUCAUAUCCACAAGAUCAAAAGAAUCAAAAGCAGGGACUUGAACAGAUAUUUGUAUGCUGCUAUAGUUUGGAUGUUUGUACCCUGCAAAUCUCAUGUUGAAAUAGGAUCCCCAGUAUUAGGCCUAAUGGGAGGUGCUUGGGUCAUGGGGGCAGAAACCUUAUGAAGACAUAAUGCCCUCCCUGGGUGGGCAGGAGUGGUGAGUUCUUACUUUAUCAGUUCCCAGAGAACUGAUUGUUUAAAAAGGGCCUGGAGGCCUGGAGCAGUGGCUCACUCCUGUAAUCCCAGCACUUUGGGAGGCUGAGGCGGGUGGAUCACUUGAGGUCAGGAGUUCGAGACCAGCCUGGCCAACAUGGUGAAACCCCAUCUCUACUAAAAAUACAAAAAAAUAAAUUUUAAAAAAAUCAGCCAGGUGUGGUGGCAAGUGCAUGUAGUCCCAGCUACUUGGGAGGCUGAGGCAUGAGAAUCGCUUGAACCCAGGAGGUGGAGGUUGCAGUGAGCCAAGAUCACGCUACUGUACUCCAGCCUGGGUGACAGAGGGAGACUCUGUCUCAGAAAAAAACAAAAAAAGGGCCUGGCCCUCCCAUCUCACUCUCUCUUGCUUCCCCUCUUGUCAUGUGAUCUCUGCACACCCUGGCCCCCCUUCACCUUCCACAGUGAGUGGAAGCAGCCUGAGGCCUCACCAGAAGCAGAUGCUAGUGGCAUGCUUCUUGUACAACCUGCAGAACUGUGAAUCAAAUAAACCUCUUUUCUUUAUAAAUUACCCAGCCUCAGGAAUCAGAGUAAGACAUACACCCAUGUUCAUAGCAGCAUUAUUCACAAUAUCCAAAAGGUGGAAACAAUGUAAGUGUCCAUCAACAGAUGAAUUGAUAAGCAAAAUGAGUGUGUACAUAGAACAAAAUAUUAUUCAGCCAUAAAAAAGCAUGAAAUUCUGAUACAUACAACAUGGAUGAAACUUGAAAACAUGCUAAGUGAAAUAAGUUAGACAUAAAAGGACAGAUUUAUAAAUCCACUUGUAUAAAAUAUACAGAAUAGCCAGGCUCAGUGGCUCAUGCCUGUUAUUCCAACACUUUGGGAGGCCGAGACAGGUGGAUCACCUGAGGUCAGGAGUUCAAGACCAGCCUGGCCAACAUGGUGAAAAUCCAUCUCUACUUAAAAUACAAAAAUUAGCCAGGUGUGUUGGUAGGCACCUGUAGUCCCAGCUACUAGGGAGGCUGAGGCAGGAGAAUUGCUUGAACCCAGUAGGCGGAAGUUGCAGUAAACCAAGAUCACACCAUUACACUCCAGCCUGGGCAAUGGAGGGAUACUUGUUCUCCAAAAAAUAGUAAUAAUAAAAAUAAAACAAGGCUGGGCGCAGUGGCUCACGCCUGUAAUCUCAGCACUUUGGGAGGCCGAGGUGGGCAGAUCAUGAGGUCAGGAGUUCGAGACCAGCCUGGCCAACAUGGUGAAACCCUGUCCCUAUGAAAAAUACAAAAAUUAGCCAGGCAUGGUGAUGCACGCCUAUAAUCCCAGCUACUCAGGAGGCUGAGACAGGAGAAUCGCUUGACCCUGGGAGGCAGAGGUUGCAGUGAGCCGAGAUGGUGCCAUUGCACUCCAGCCUGGGCGACAGAGCGAGACUCCAUCUCAAAAAAAAAAAAAGAAAUUAAAAUUAAAAAAAAUAAAAUAUAUAGAAUAGACAAACUAAUGGAGACAGAAAGUAGACUAGCGGUUACCAGGGCUUAGGGGGAAAAGAGGAACGAGGAAAUAUUGCUUAAUGUUUACAGAAUUUCUGUUUGGGGUGAUGAAAAAGUUUUAGAAAUAGUAGUGGCCAGGCACAGUGGCUCAUGCCUAUAAUCCUAGCACUUGGGGAUGCUGAGGUGGGUGGAUCACUUGAACCCACGAGUUUGAGAGCAGCCUGGGCAACACAGGAAAACCCCAUAUCUACAAAAUAUAUAAAAAUUAGUGGGGGCGUGGUGGCAUGCGCCUGUCAUCCCAGCUACUUGAGAGGCUGAAGCAGGAGAAUCACUUGAGCCCAGGAGGUCGAGUCUGCAGUGAGCCAUGGCUAUACUACUGUACUCUAGCCUGGAUGACAGAGUGAGACUCCGUCUCUUAAAAAUAAAAAAUUAAAGUAUGGUUAAAAAGGCAAUUUUUGUGUUACUUAUGUUUUACCACAAUUUUUUUUUUAAACCUCACUCAAAAAAGAAUGACAUCAUCUUAGGAGGCCGGGCGCAGUGGCUCACACCUGUAAUCCCAGCACUUUAGGAGGCCAAGGCGGGUGGAUUGCCUGAGUUUAGGAGUUCAAGACCAGCCUGACCAACAUGGUGAAAGCCCGUCUCUACUAAAAAUACAAAAAUUAGCUGGGCAUGGUGGCACACGCCUGUAGUCCCAGCUACUUGGGAGGCUGAGACAGGAGAAUCACUUGAACUCAGGAGGCGGAAGUUGCAGUGAGUCGAGAUCGCACCACUGCACUCUGGCCUGGGCAACAGUGGAAGACUCCAUCUCAAAAAACAAAAACAAAAACCAGAAAAACAAAGUAGUAAAAUCCAGAAGAUAGAACUUCUACAAAUCAACCAAACUGAAAACGCAAUAUAAAAAUGAGCAAUGGCUUUCAUCAUCAGAAGAGAAAGAAAACUCACUGAUCUUGCAUGCCCCCAAAAAAAGAAAGGAAAAUAAAAGUUAACCACAAAAAAUUAUAAUGUAAGUUAAAGUACAAAUGAGGGGUCAUUUUUUUACUCAUCAUAUUGGCAAAAGUUAAGACAUUGCAAGAUAUAAUCAUGCACUGCAUAAGGAUGUUUUAGUCAGCAACAGACUUCAGAUAAGACAGCAGUCCCAUAAGAUUAUAAGACUGUAUUUUUACUAUACCUUUUCUAUGUUAAGAUACACAAAUACAAACCAUUGUGUUACAG
rnacentral:lncRNA from 1 species